UAAGUCAAGUUGCGAUUUUGACAAGGUCCAGCUUACUGGUAUGGUGUGCCUCUCCUGUGCAGUGGGAUUAUGGCUAUUUUAUACUAAUGGAUUAGAUUGUCACUGUCUAUUUGGGAGACAUGUAGUAGCGUUCAUAUGCCACUUUCUCUCUGUUUUUUUUCCCCUGCCUUUGCAUCUCUGUUUUCUAUCUUUUUCUCAAUGGUCCAGCUGUGGUUGGAAUCCUGUUAAUGUGAUUGGUUUGGUCUUAAGUUUCAGGUUGUCUGUUUCUCUGUCUUUUAUUCUCUGUGGCAAACGCCUUAUGCUCUACGGUUUAGAUUGCUCUUUGUUGCUCUAUUUGUGACAUUGUCAUUGCAGUCUUUGUGUUACAGGCAUGCAUGCAUGCCUGCUGUUUGCUUUAGGCAGGGUGAUGUGUUUCAUGUGGAGGUUGAUUAUGCAGGUCUGGCUCUGCAACUGAAUGGGGACUCUGUGCUUUCAUGGUUGCAAAACACCUCCAGGUCUAUUUUGUUCAAAACUCAAUAGAGGCCCUGUUUUUAGCUUCUGCUUUUGAAAUAUUUUAAUCUCCAUUGAAACGCAAGAUGCUCCUCCAAAAUAGAGGUCCGUCCAUGCACUGCCAUAAGUCACACGUCCCUUGCAUUCAAUAUUUCAUGACAGCUAUCUCUUUCUAGCUCUUUAUCCUUCCACAUGACCACAACUUUAGCAUUAACAUACUCUUAAUCCAUCACAUACAUGUUGCUUUUUUUAUUAUUAUUCUUUCAUUAAUUCAUACCACAUUCGUUCUUCGCAAUGAGUCAAAUUGUUUUUGGCAUUGGUAAAAAAAAAAAAAAUUGAAUUUUUUUACAAUUCCACCCUGCGUUUGAGUUUGAGGAAAACAACCACCGAUGCGAAGAGAUAAGCUUAUAACGAUCGUGACCUUCAAAUGGCUUGUCUUUCCACUAAUAGCUGAAGAAGAUCCAUCAUGCAGUGUGCUAUCACCAUCAAGUUUGGAUGAACCAGCCAUACCAGCUCACCGUCAACGUCUCUCGCCUUCCGCGCACAAGCGGAUCAUUCUUCGCCAUGUGUUCUCUGCAUGAAGACAAAAAGAAAAGGGGAGUACUCAGAUUUAUCGUAUGUGGUUCUGUUUUUUUGUUUAUUGUUGUUUUUAUAAAUGGUUUUUCCAAUUAUUUUUUUUUUAAUUUCAUUAUAUUUUUUGUUUUUUUUCUUGUCAAAUCUAAUUUUUUAUUAUUGUAUUUUUUUUAUCUUCAAGAUUUUUAGAUUGAUUUUUUUUUUAUUUCAUCCUCCAAUAUUUAAUUGAACAAGUGUUAAGCUUUUUAGCUUAGUCUAGGUGUAGAAUUUAACGGUUUACAAGUUUAAAAAAUUAACUCUGAUUUACAAAGUUGACAUGAAUACGGAUUUCCGUUGUUUUUUUGUUUUUUUAAAAGCUUUUUUCCAUCCUAUACCAUUCUGUUAUUUUUUUAAUUAUCUUUAAAUGAGAUUUUUGUAGUCAAUUUUAAAAUUAGAAGGUCGCCUUGCUUUUAGUUUUUUUUUCUUUUCUUUUUUGUCUUUAUUACAUUUAGAUUUUCUAAAAGAAUUUUGUUUUUGAAUUGAAUUGAAUUAAUUGAUUUCAUCAUCAAACAUUUAAUUUUUUAGGUGUUGAGCUCCUGAAUUGAACCCGGGUCAGGAAUUUAGUAGAUUGCGAGUUUGGAAGUUUAACCUGGAUUUACAAGGUUUUGACAACUUCACUUGAUUUUGCUGAUGCUUUCUUUUUUAAUACUUUUUUUCAUUGAUUUUUUUUUCUAAUGAUCAAUCAUUAUUGUUUUUAGCUCUCUUUCUAUGGUGUCAAGUCGUUGAUUUUUUUCCUUUCUUUAAAAUCCAAUAAUAACGCUUAAGCAUCUUUUUUUACGCUACAGAAAAAAUCAGCCUGGCCCGUAGCGAAGCGCGGGCCAUCUAUCUAGUUUUCUCUCUAUGAUUUGAUCCUUUUGAAACAAAAUUAGUAGCCAACUGUUUUUAAUUUACUAUAGUUGAAAAAAAUAUACAAUAUAAAUCUUAAAAAUAAAUCUUAUAAUAAAAUCUUGCAUAUUGUUAAAACAAAAACAAUAAAUAAUAAAUAUAUUAAACAAAUGUUUUGUUCACAUUUUUUCUUUCAAAAAACAUAUAUUUAAUAUCAAAUCACUUUUCCUAUUUAAUUAACACUAAAAAAAACAACUUUUAUAAUGUAGACACUAUACAUUAAUUACCAGGUUGAAAAGCAAAGCAUUCAAGCGGUGUUAAAAAGGAUUAAUAGGAUGACAAUUUGUAAUGAUUUAUAUAAGAAUAUUAAUGAUUUUAAGAUAUAAAAUAGAUUAAAAAAAUAUAGUAAUUGAAAUUCAGAUUUUGUUCAAGUAAUGAAAACUAUCACAUGUACAAUCACUAAACCAACCAUGAGAAUUGAUAUUUUAUUUUCUCUUUCAAACUAUUAAAAAGAAUAAUAUUUUUAAAAAUAAAAAAUAAAAAACAGCAAAGCCCCCUUGAUGAUAAAAAUGCAUUGUCUCGAUAUCUUUUCUACGAUAAAAAAAAUUAUAGGCCCACAGUAUAGAGCGAGCCACCUAUCAAAUAAUGAUUGGUGAUUUUAGCUCUCUUUCUAUGGUGUCGAGUCGUUAAUUUUUUUAUCUUCUUUAAAAUCCAAUAAUAACGCUUAGGCAUCUUUUUAUUACACUACAUAAAAAAUCAGUAUGGCCCGUAGCAAAGUGUGGGCCAUCUAUCUAGUUUUCUUUUUAUUAUUUGAUCUUUUUGAACAAAAUUAGUAGCCAAUUGUUUUUAAUUUACUAUAGAAGGAUAAGAAUCAAGGAUAAAAGACUAAAGUGAAAAACUUCAGGUAAAUAAGUUGUGCUUUUAAAAUUCAAAUAAAAAAUUUACUUUGAUCCUCUACCUUUCUAAUGAAGACAUUUUCAGUCCUUAUAGUUUUUGAAAAAUUUAUUUUUGAUACACAACUUUAUGUUCAGUCCUUAGAUUGAAAGAAAAGAGAGAGUUUCUAGAUUCUGAAGGAAGACAGAGAAAAAGUUGGUAUGCACUAAUUCCAUCCAUAAAAAAAAUCGUUCAUAAUUUAACAAGUUUCAUUCGAUAAGAGAAGUUUCACUAAGGUAUUUUUUAGCCUUCACCUUACUUAAGGGAAUAGAUAUGGAGAUGGGAAGGGUUUUGUUUUUAAUUUAGGUUUAUUUUUGGUUUUUUGAAUGAUUUUUUGGGUUGUUUGAAGCCAUGUAAUAGUUUAUUUAGGUCUUUACGAUAUUUUUUAAAUGUAAAAAAUUAUUAAAAAAUAUUUUUUUAGAUAAAAAAAAUACUCAUACCUUGACUUUCUGGCUACCCUUUGGUCGUCAUAUUCUAGGCCAAUAGACUUAUCCAAUCCAUAUAUAUAUAUAUAUAUAUAUAUAUAUAUAUAUAUAUAUAUAUAUAUAUAUCAUUAUAAAUAAAUAAAAGAGACUUAACUUACAAAAAAAUUGUAAUGCAUAUUAUAGUACAUGAUUAUAUUUUUUUAUUAAAAAAUUACUUUUAAACAACAUAAAGACCUUGAAAUGAAUUUAAAUGACAUUAGAGAUUUUUCUUAUUCAUGGUUGAAAAAAAUAUACAAUAAAAAUCUUAUAAUAAAAUCUUGCAUAUUGUUAAAACAAAAAUAAUAAAUAAUAAAUAUAUUAUACAAAUUUUUUGUUCAAAGUUUUUUUCUUUCAAAAAACAUAUCUUUAAUAUCAAAUCACUUUUCUUAUUUAAUUAACACUAAAAAAAACAACUUUUAUAAUGUAGAAACUAUACAUUAAUUACCAGGUUGAAAAGCAAAGCAUUCAAGUGGCAUUAAAAAACAUUAAUAGAAUUUGUUUUUUGUUCUUAUCCGGGCAUUCUCACGCCCUUUUAAAGGACGAGGCUAGUCCUGUUUGGGGUUCGUGGCUACCCCUCCCAAUAAGUAUGCUUUCCAAGAAUUGAACUUGUGUUCUCACCUUUACUGGAAUAUAACAGUGUCUUAACCGCUAGACCAACACUUCAUUUAUAUUUAUAUAUAUAUAAAAAAAAAACAAGAAGAUAGAUUUUGUUCAAGUAAUGAAAAGUAUCACAUAUACAACCACUAAACCAACCAUGAGAAUUGAUAUUUUAUUUUCUCUUUUAAACUAUUAAAAGGAAUAAUAUUUUUAAAAAUAAAAAAUAAAAAACAGUGAAGCCCCCUUGAUGAUAAUGUUUCUUGUUUGAAUGGGCAAAUCUAGAAACUACUAAAUGGGCUUAGGUCUUGUACAUAGAAUUCAGUGAUCAGACCCAAUAUGGCCAUCUCAUUAUUAAAUAUUAAUGGUAUCUCUGGUCACUUAUUAGUAUUUUUUUUUACCAUAAAUAUUUCCUUUUCAUAUGUUAAUUAGAGUUAGACUAGCCACAGUGUCCCAUUUCAUUGCAUGGCUAAAUUAUUUAAAAACAAAAUAAUGAUGAGAUGUUUAAAUAAGAUAAAAUAAUAAUAAUAAUAAGUCAUGAUAAAUUUAUAACCAAUGGUAAUCAAUUUGAACCAACUAAAGAAAUUUUGUUAAAUUUAUAAUUUAGAUAAUGAGAUUGGAAUAACUUAAUAAAAAAAAUAAAGAGAAUUAUAAAGUCUUUUUUUAAAAAAAACUAUAGUUAAAUUUUCAAACUCGUGACCUUAGUCAUUAGACCUGAAGCACCUAAUUUAAACUAAUCAUGAAGUUCAAUUCCCAAUCAAUCAAAUAUUGAAUGAUGAAAUAAAAAACAUUUAAUUAUAUAAAAUCACUAAAAAUAACAAUUAAAAUAAUAAGAAUCAUAAUUAAAAUACAAAAUAAAUUUUAUAUUUGAUUGAAGGGUGAAGUUGAGAUGAAAAGAACUCAACAAUAAAUAUUCUGGCUCAUUCUCAAAACUUGCAUGCCCAAAUCCUCCUGUCGAUAUAAAUGGUUAAACUAGCAAUAUUCCAAUUCAACUUUUCAAAAAGUUGAUCCUCCACUUGUAAAGAAUGACAAAUAACUUUCAGUGCGAUAAGAAAAUUUUCUAAAUUUUUUUUUAAAAAAACAUAUCAUUUUCUUUACAAAAUUUUCAAAAAGUCAAUCUCAACCUCCCCUAUAUAAAGAGCCUCCUCUCAAGCUUUAGAGGCAGAACUACAUAGAUGAGUUUCUUUGUAUAAGGCAUCAAUACUCUUCUUUGGUAAUUCCUUGUAACCUUUUAUAUUGCCAUCUAUUAUCUUGUAAACACAUCCAUAUUGUUUUAUUCAAACCUUAUAACUUAUAUCUUCAUAUUGGUUUCUAUACAAAUUUAAGUAAGAUUCCUUUAAAUAUCAUUUCUAUAUAUAUUUAAAUUCUACUUAUUAUUCUGUAUUUAUAUUUCUACAAAAUUAAGUAUGCUUUGUAUUUAGUAGAAGAUCCUAUCAUGUCUAGACUUACCUCUUCAUUCACGUCAGAAAUUUGUUUAUAGUUUUGUAUUUUGUUUUAAAAUCAAGUAUAUCGGCUAGAAAUUUGUGAUAAGAUCUUAAGAUCAUUCUUAGGUGUAACAACGUCACGUACUUGUUUUGUCUUUGUUUUAUCUUUGUUUACAUCUAUCUUUAGUUUGUGUGUGUGUGUGUGUAAAUGAAAAUUUUCUAUGAAAUUGAAUUAUGCUAAAUUGUUAGAAGAAAUUGAAUGAAACCAUUUGGUUUGUGGCACAUAUAUUGUGUAUUUGCAGGUUUAAAAAUUUUGGGUUGUCUCUUAUAUAUGGGAGGUGCUGCCAAAUAUUUUUUUUUUAAAAUAGGAAUCAUUUAGUUUUUUUUAUUUGUUAAUUUGUGUAAAUGCCUAGGAGAAAGUUUAUUGUACGUUAUGAGGACAAGAUCAUUGCUAGUUCUUUUAACAGUGAUGUUGAUGACCACGAGUCAUUAGAUGCCAACCGAGAACAAACACUUGAGGCAUAAGCAUCGACUCAUGACGUAAGCUCUUUGAGUGAGAUGCCGAAAUGUCAAGGGGGGACUUCAUAGUGGGAUUCAUUUAUCCGCAAGUACGAGGCCUAGUGGAAGGAUAAUCUUUCAAUGGAAAAUUCAAAUGGGAGAGAGCUGAUAAUAAUGUUAUAAGGAGAGUUUGGAAGAAUCACGCUGCAAUUAGGUUGCAUGAUUUUUUGUAUGUGGUGAAAAAAAAAAAACCAAAAAAUAUGCGAAAAAAGAGCUUCUAGGUUGAAAUGAUGUGGCAGUUUGAAAGGAUUUUAGAUCGUCGUAUAUCUUAGAGGCUAUAUGGACAGAAUACAUUCAGCACAUGACGUCGACUCAUUUCACGCGACAAUCACAGUCCAGUGUAGAAAAUUAGAACUGGAGUGUUCAUGGUUUUGUUACCACUCUCAAUGACAGCUUUAUUCUGUUUGUUUUGUAUAUGAAGUGAAUGGCUACGGUUCUUGGACACGAGCUAAACCCGAUGAAGCUUUUUUGUUGAAACACAUGUAUAGAGUGAUGACUACCAAAAAAAGGAUGCAACAAGUCAUGGAUAGCCGAGCUCAGCACUUUGUGCUGGUUGAAGGAGAAAUACAGGGAUGAUCCUUUGACCUAUCCCAAUCUCGAUCCGGAUUUGUAGUUAAAGGCAUGAUUAUCUAGUUGACCUAAUAGAAAUCAGGUGUACGAAAUUUCUAACACUAUAGCUGAGAACUUGCAAACAACUCAUAUUGUUUCGACUAUUGGAUGCUCGCAAUUAAUUUUAAGUACUCAAACUUUGGAGUU